rnacentral:rRNA from 1 species
GCCUAGCCUUUACCACCCUGAAUGCACCCCUUCUCAUCUGAUCUCAGAAGCUAAGCAGGGUCAGGCCUGGCUAGUAUUUGGAUGGGAGACCUUCUGAGCAUCCUGGGUGCUGUAGACU